rnacentral:rRNA from 1 species
UACAGGGGUGGCAAGCGUUGUCCGGAAUUACUGGGUGUAAAGGGUGCGUAGGCGGAUCAAUAAGUCAGUGGUUAAAUCCGGCAGCUCAACUGUCGACCAUCCAUUGAUACUGUUGAUCUUGAGUUCAAGAGAGAUGAGUGGAAUUCUCAGUGUAGCGGUGAAAUGCGUAGAGAUUGAGAAGAACACCAGUAGCGAAGGCAGCUCAUUAGCUUGAUACUGACGCUGAGGCACGAAAGCAUGGGUAGCAAACAGG